rnacentral:rRNA from 1 species
UACAGAGGUCCCAAGCGUUGUUCGGAUUCACUGGGCGUAAAGGGUGCGUAGGCGGUCGGUAAGUCUGAUGUGAAAUCUCUGGGCUUAACCCAGAAAUGGCAUUGGAUACUAUUUGGCUUGAGAGUUGGAGGGGGGACUGGAAUUCUUGGUGUAGCAGUGAAAUGCGUAGAUAUCAAGAGGAACACCAGUGGCGAAGGCGAGUCCCUGGACAACUUCUGACGCUGAGGCACGAAAGCUAGGGGAGCAAACAGG